AUUGAACGCUAGCGGGAUGCCUUACACAUGCAAGUCGAACGGCAGCGCGGACUUCGGUCUGGCGGCGAGUGGCGAACGGGUGAGUAAUGUAUCGGAACGUGCCCAGUAGCGGGGGAUAACUACUCGAAAGAGUAGCUAAUACCGCAUACGCCCUACGGGGGAAAGGGGGGGAUCGCAAGACCUCUCACUAUUGGAGCGGCCGAUAUCGGAUUAGCUAGUUGGUGAGGUAAAGGCUCACCAAGGCGACGAUCCGUAGCUGGUUUGAGAGGACGACCAGCCACACUGGGACGGCGACCCGGCCCAGACCCCUACGGGAGGCAGCAGGGGGGAUUUUGGGACAAUGGGGGCAACCGUGAUCCAGCCUUCCCGUGUGUGAGAUGAAGGCGUGAGUGUUGAAAAGCACUUUUGUCAGGAAAGAAGUCGAACGGAUAAAUACUCUGUGUGGAUGAGGGUACGGGCAGAAUAAGCACGGGCUAACUACGUGCCAGCCCCCGCGGAAA
rnacentral:rRNA from 1 species